GCGGUUAUGGUCUAGCGGUAUGAUUCUCGCUUAGGGUGCGAGAGGUCCCAGGUUCAAUCCCUGGUAACCGCC